rnacentral:rRNA from 1 species
CGAAAGCCUGACGGAGCAAGACCGCGUGAGGGAGGAAGGCUCUUGGGUUGUAAACCUCUUUUCUCAGGGAAGAAGCUCUGACGGUACCUGAGGAAUCAGCCUCGGCUAACUCCGUGCCAGCAGCCGCGGUAAUACGGAGGAGGCAAGCGUUAUCCGGAAUUAUUGGGCGUAAAGCGUCCGCAGGUGGCGAUUCAAGUCUGCUGUCAAAGCACGGGGCUUAACUCCGUAAAGGCAGUGGAAACUGAAUAGCUAGAGUGCCGUAGGGGUAGAGGGAAUUCCCAGUGUAGCGGUGAAAUGCGUAGAGAUUGGGAAGAACACCAGUGGCGAAGGCGCUCUACUGGACUAAAACUGACACUGAGGGACGAAAGCUAAGGUAGCG